AACGAACGCUGGCGGCAGGCCUAACACAUGCAAGUCGAGCGAGCAUUUCGGUGCUAGCGGCGGACGGGUUAGUAACGCGUGGGAACGUGCCCUUUGCUACGGAAUAGUCCUGGGAAACUGGGGGUAAUACCGUAUGUGCCCUUCGGGGGAAAGAUUUAUCGGCAAAGGAUCGGCCCGCGUUGGAUUAGGUAGUUGGUGGGGUAAUGGCCUACCAAGCCGACGAUCCAUAGCUGGUUUGAGAGGAUGAUCAGCAACACUGGGACUGAGACACGGCCCAGACUCCUACGGGAGGCAGCAGUGGGGAAUCAUAGACAAUGGGCGCAAGCCUGAUCUAGCCAUGCCGCGUGGACGAUGAAGGCCUUAGGGUUGUAAAGUCCUUUCAGCUGGGAAGAUAAUGACGGUACCAGCAGAAGAAGCCCCGGCUAACUCCGUG
rnacentral:rRNA from 1 species